AAAAGAAACUAAACAUUUUAAAUCAGAAAUAUCACUUUUUAUCUUAGACUAGGCGUUUGAAACAUAUUUUUCUUUUCUUCCUUUUUUUUUUUUUUUUUUGAAAGCAAGAAUCUUACAAAGGAAUAUUUUUCCGGCAACAAAAAUAUAUCUACAUAUGGAAAUGACAUGUGUACCAAAAUGAUUGGUAUUAAUAAUCUAUGUCAUGAAGAGAGCCUACUUUUGUUGGCAGAUAUCGCUAUGAGCAAAUAUGAGGGCGGAUCGUACAGUGUUUUUUGAGUCCAGAAGCUUGGUGAGGUGCAGCAGAGGAGGCUAGUGUCACCGCACAGGCAUUUUAGAUGGUGACGACUCUCCGUAGGAAUAAACUAAGCUACCAACAAGACGAUAUGAUAAACUGGGCUCAUGGUUAAAUUCUCUCUCCAGCAUCGCACGGAAAGUUCCUCUGAGGCCAAAUCACUAAGGACCAAGUGCCAAUACCUGAUUAAAGCCGUUGCAGGCUGGCUGAGCCGAGAUACACGGUGGGAGAAAAGAGAAGAGGGAAAUGGAAUGACAGCUAGCUCUGCCUCUCAGCACCUCAUUCUGACUACUGAAGCUGCGUGUGAAUGGAAGCUCAUUAAGUCACUUGAUCUCACUGAUACAGAAGAAGGUAGAAACCUAUUUCCCACUAUUUUGUUCAGUCUCUCUUUUGUCAUGUUGGUGUAAAGUUUCAGCCUCUUACUAGGCCUUGAUAACACCAGAGGUAGGAGGAAGUGACGUGCUUAUAAACUUUUGACUUGUGAAGAUGGUGGAAGAGUAGGGUUCUUCAUCCCACCUGGUCCCACCAUCUUACCCACCUGGUUUUACCAUCUUACCUAGAUAACUUUCAAAACAUCCUGAACACUUAUGAAUUUGACCUGAGAUUUAAAGAGAGAACACCUGGAAUGCUACAGAGAGAAAAGUAUUUGCUUCUAACAAAGUAGGAAAGUGAAAAAAAAAAAAAAAAAAAAGGAAAUAAAAAAGAAUAAAGUGGGGGAUGGGAACUGCA
rnacentral:lncRNA from 12 species